GAUAAGGACAAAGGCCACCUGUGGUCCAGAGCAGAGACUGGGGCCAGGAAGAGGUGCUGGGCAAAUGGGAGACAGUGCAAAGGGCAGGUGAAGGAAUUGAGGUCCUGUGGGGAUAAGAGAUGAGCCUAGGUGACCCAUUGUGACAGCCGAUUCAGACUGGAAUCAAUCUGAUGGACGAUGGACGCUCUGCAAAGGGAUCAUGCUGUGUGUGGUAGACUGAAAAUGGGGAUCCCUUUACAAGGAGGCUCCCUUCUCCCUGAACAAGCCCAACCAGUCUACAGUGGGUCUGGUGUAGGGGGAGCUCCAGGAGAGACUGUGGCAGGGCUUCAGGAGGCUCCUGAUAACCUAUUGCCUAAACCUGGGCUAUGGCUCCAGCCAGAUGUCAUUCCAGUGAGCACGUGGCCCUGCUGUGGCCCCACUUUGGCUGCAAAUGACUGCCUGGCCCUUCCUGCCCUCCCCUGCCACAGGCCCUCACACCAGGCCAGAAUGUCCUCAGGAAGCAGUACCUCUCUCUGCAGAGGGAGCUUUGCUUCUGGAUUCCCGGCUGGAGCUGCAGCCAGGAUGUUUUGCAAUGAGCCUGGGGAAAGCAUCCAUUCCGGGAAGAUCAGGGAGUGGACUGUGCUUGCCAGCAGGGGUCUGGGUGAGAGGGCAGUCACUGCCUGCCGGGCUGGGGUGGGAGCAGGGCAUCUCUGGGACAGCCCGUUCCUCAGGCCCUGUGGGACCUUGGCCUCUAAGCUGUUUAUCUGUCUGUCUGCCUGUCCAUCUGGAUUAGAGGGGCUGGCUUGCUCACUUCAGUUCCCCAAAGGGCUCCCAACUGCAGGGCAGCUUGAGCCUUCCUUCGCUUUAUUUCGUCUUUGAAUGUUUUUGAAUAUGACUCAAAAGCGAUUACAAAAUGAAAAGCUACAUUGGCAGGAAAAGACCCUGAGGAAGCAUGCCCAAGGGAAAACUGUUGGUGCUGGACUCACGAUGGAAGCCAGACUUGCCUUGGUUUACCACGCCUCUCUCUCAGCCUCCUCAGCCAGGAUUACAGCCGUAUGCCAAUGCCUCAGCCAGCAUCCAAGCCAAACACCUCGCUCCCUCACUCCAAAUCAAUACUUUGGCUGAUCCAAUUGGUGUAGAAGGAAGAGGUUGGGGUGAGGGUAAGGACUGAAAUGUAUAUAACAUUUCUUCAACAAACAUCAUAGAAA